rnacentral:rRNA from 1 species
GUAGUCAUAUGCUUGUCUCAAAGAUUAAGCCAUGCAUGUCUAAGUAUAAGCAACUUGUACUGUGAAACUGCGAAUGGCUCAUUAAAUCAGUUAUCGUUUAUUUGAUAGUACCUUACUACAUGGAUACCUGUGGUAAUUCUAGAGCUAAUACACGCUAAAAACCCCGACUUCAGGAAGGGGUGUAUUUAUUAGAUAAAAAACCAAUGCCCUUCGGGGCUCCUUGGUGAAUCAUAAUAACUUAACGAAUCGCAUGGCCUUGCGCCGGCGAUGGUUCAUUCAAAUUUCUGCCCUAUCAACUUUCGAUGGUAGGAUAGUGGCCUACCAUGGUGGCAACGGGUAACGGGGAAU